rfam:Oryza sativa (indica cultivar-group) chromosome 7, whole genome shotgun sequence.
UAUAAGUACAACAAUAAGUUUUCGCGUCCAAAUUUAAUCGUUCGUCUUAUCUAAAAAUUUUUUAUAAUUAGUAUUUUUAUUAUUAUGAGAUGAUAAAACAUGAAUAGUACUUUACUCGUGACUUAUGUUUUUAAAUUUUUUUAAAAAAAAUUUUUAAAUAAGACGGACGGUCAAAGUUGGGCGCGAAAAACCACGGCUGCACUUAUA